UACGAAGGGGGCUAGCGUUGCUCGGAAUCACUGGGCGUAAAGGGUGCGUAGGCGGGUCUUUUAAGUCAGGGGUGAAAUCCUGGAGCUCAACUCCAGAACUGCCUUUGAUACUGAGGAUCUUGAGUUCGGGAGAGGUGAGUAGGAACUGCGAGUGUAGAGGUGAAAAUUCGUAGAUAUUCGCAAGAACACCAGUGGCGAAGGCGGCUCACUGGCCCGAUACUGACGCUGAGGCACGAAAGCGUGGGGGAGCAAACAGGG
rnacentral:rRNA from 1 species